UGAGGUGUAGCUUACUGGUAGAGUGCUUGCCUAGCAUGUGUAUGGGCCUGAGUUCAAUCCUCAGUGCUGCAA
rnacentral:tRNA from 1 species